rnacentral:rRNA from 1 species
GACGAACGCUGGCGGCGUGCUUAACACAUGCAAGUCGAACGGAAAGGCCCUGCUUUUGUGGGGUGCUCGAGUGGCGAACGGGUGAGUAACACGUGAGUAACCUGCCCUUGUCUUUGGGAUAACUUCAGGAAACUGGGGCUAAUACCGGAUAGGAGCUCCUGCUGCAUGGUGGGGGUUGGUAAGUUUCGGCGGUUGUGGAUGGACUCGCGGCUUAUCAGCUUGUUGGUGAGGUAGUGGCUUACCAAGGCUUUGACGGGUAGCCGGCCUGAGAGGGUGACCGGCCACAUUGGGACUGAGAUACGGCCCAGACUCCUACGGGAGGCAGCAGUGGGGAAUAUUGCGCAAUGGGCGGAAGCCUGAUGCAGCAACGCCGCGUGCGGGAUGACGGCCUUCGGGUUGUAAACCGCUUUCGCCUGUGACGAAGCGUGAGUGACGGUAAUGGGUAAAGAAGCACCGGCUAACUACGUG